UCCCUGGAGGUCCAGUGGUUAAGACUUUGUGCUUCCACUGCAAGGGGCACAGGUUCGAUCCCUGGUCGGAGAA
rnacentral:tRNA from 1 species